rnacentral:tRNA from 1 species
GGCUACGUAGCUCAGCUGGUUAGAGCACAGCACUCAUAAUGCUGGGGUCACAGGUUCGAUUCCCUUCUUAGGCU